rnacentral:rRNA from 1 species
UACGUAGGGACCGAGCGUUGUCCGGAUUCAUUGGGCGUAAAGAGCUCGUAGGCGGCUGUUCAAGUCGAACGUGAAAACCCGGGGCUCAACUCCGGGCCUGCAGCCGAUACGGGCAGACUAGAGUUCGGCAGGGGAGACUGGAAUUCCUGGUGUAGCGGUGAAAUGCGCGGAUAUCAGGAGGAACACCGGUGGCGAAGGCAGGUCUCUGGGCUGACACUGACGCUCAUGCACGAAAGCGUGGGGAGCAAACAGG